rnacentral:lncRNA from 1 species
CAGCAGCCCCAGCCCAGUGCUCCCGCAGCUCAGUGGCUCUACAUGGAUCCUGAGCCCCUUCCUGGACCAACCACAGUGGUCCCUGGCCUGGUUGGCUCUGACUGGUCACCCAAUGCACAGGGACCGGAAAUGUGCGGGGAGUGGCUUUCUCAGAUGAAAACUGGGAAACCAUUACUCGAAUUGGGAUGGAUAGAUGCUGAAUGGCCAAGAAACAAAAAUAUCCUCUAAGAACUAUGGGAACACAGAAAAGGUGUGUCCACGGCUAGCCUCAUAAGCCGGAUGACCUGUUCAGUCCCAGCCUUAACAAGUUUCACAUUGGCUUAAUGCUCUGCUGUCACUGACUCAACAUUCUUAAUAAUUUCUGAACAAGGGGCUCCACAUUUGCGUUUUGUAAUAGGCCCCACUAAUUACAUGGCUAGUCCUAGAUGUGACUAACUUUUCUACUGCACACUAAGGCUAACUUUCCCCUGUGUAACAUAAGUGCCUACUGAUCUUUAUCACUAGCGUGUUAGCAAGGUUAGCAUUCCACUUCUGUGAUUUCACCACCCAAAUAUAGUGUUGGAAAUUGAGAGAAAGAGGUGGUUUGUCCAGCAAGGCAUGUCCAACACAGACAGAGACAAUAUGGGGCCUCCUCGGUGACUCACUUUUAUGUGACUAGGUAUGUGUCUCUUCUGUAGAAACUUGGUCAAUAGGGAAUGACGACAAGUAAAAAGGGGCCCUUAGAAAAUAAUAUCACCAUCAUGAUCAUCAUCUUCAUCUUCAUUGACUGUAGACACAGCGCUUAUAAUCACAAAAUUGAAGAACUGUAAGGAAAUUCAGAAUUUAUAAUAAUAGAAGCUCCCAUUUACUAAUGUGUUGUUAUAUUCUGGGUACUGAGUUAUAUCUAUUUCUCUAUCUGUCUAUCUAUCUAUCUAUCUAUCCAUCUAUCAUCUCUCUAUCUCUCUAU